rnacentral:rRNA from 1 species
UACGUAGGGGGCAAGCGUUGUCCGGAUUUAUUGGGCGUAAAGCGCUCGCAGGCGGCUUGAUGCGUCGUGCGUGAAACACCCCGGCUCAACUGGGGAGGGUCGUGCGAUACGGUCAGGCUUGAGGCCAGUAGGGGCAUGUGGAACUUCCGGUGGAGCGGUGAAAUGCGUAGAGAUCGGAAAGAACACCAACGGCGAAAGCACUCUGCUGGGCCGACACUGACACUGAGAGACGAAAGCUAGGGGAGCGAAUGGG